GACCGGCUCAGAGACGCUCCAGCUAAAACAUGAAAGAAAGACGAUGUGAUCUCCAGCUCCCAGUGAGAACCGGCGCCACUCAUGGUGUAAUAACAAGGAAAGGAAAGGGCUAGACUUCGAAAUAAAGAGCGAGUGCAAAGUCUUGUUUAAAAGUGAAGGUUUUGUGGGUGAAAUCCUGGCUCCACUGGAAGCUUUGCCACGAGUGCCAGGAGUUCGCCCUGCAAGUGCUAGCCAUGAUUUUUUCCAUGAUGCAUCACAAUAGUUCUUACUUCGUGUUCAAGACAAAGUCAGGAUUGUCCCCAUUGGUCUGAUAACCUCCUCUGAAGAAAGUGUCAUUCUGAUUACAACAGUGAGAGUGCAAAAUCACACAUUUCUCUGUGAAUAUUGGGCAUGAUCGAAAGCCCACUUAGGUCUCUUAUUAACUUCAGUGGACAGUGGAUGAGACUCUUGAACACAACUUUACCACUAUUAAGAACCUUGCUGCAGCAACUGGCUGCAAAGGCUGCUGGAAAGUUUUGAUGCUCUCAUGGUAAAGCUUUACCGUUUAUUUGCCCAUAAGAAUGGCUAUUCCAGCUAUUAUUUCCUACUUUUUAUACUCUAAUAAAUUUGUUAGUCUCUAAGGUGCCACAAGUACUCCUUUACUUUUUAUACUGUUUGACUGAGAUGCAUAUUUUAUACUGGACAUCUGCUCUUUUAUAUUAACUAUUCAUAUUUUUUAAGACAGCAAGGAUUGUGGACAAAUAUGGACAAUGAGCAUGAAAAUGCAAGGGAGGAGAAAUGUGACAACACCUUUAACUCCCUUUGAUUGUUAAGCCCAAAUUAAUAUCUUCUAUGCAUAAUAAUCUUGACAGUGAAACUUAUAAAAACGUAGAGAGAAUGACAGCAGGGUUAUUCUCAUUGUCUGCAAAGAAAAGUAAUUAUAGCAAACUAAAAAUACUGAACAUUAAAUAUAGUUGGACUCAUUUAAGAUUGUACAAACAUCAUUCUAUCCAUGAUGUCAGAAAUAUACCUGAUUGGAGCCUGUGGGUGUUUCUGUAACAGUUUUGGGGAAGACAAUAUGCCAAAUCAGAUAUAGUAUUUUUUCCCUCUGCCUGUAUUGUAGCUUUUCUCUCUACUCAGUAGAGACCAGAGAGUAGUCUUUUCAGCACUUUGAUAUAUGUGUAUUCCCACAAAUAUCAUACUGAGUUAAAUCUCUGAUAGAAGGUCAGUGACACAAAAUCUUGGAAGGAAAACAUUUACUAAAUAAAUCUAUAUAUGACUACAUCAUAGUUACUUACAGUCCUUGAAACAAGUGUGAAUAUUGGCAAUAAGAAAUCUUUUAAAGACAACACUUUCAGUGGGGUUUCCCCCAAGUUUUAGUACUUGUGGCUAUCAUAACUUCAAAUGUAAAAUAUAGUUAGGUGCAUACACUCCCCUCGGACUCUUCCUCUGAGAGGAUUUACCUUUCUCAGUGUCAUAGUGUCCAAACCAGCUAUAGGUCACAUCAGUUUCUUAAAAAGUGAUAAUCCCACAGUCUCCUUCAGAUUCCCCUCAGGUAUUUGCAAUGACAGUCUGCAAUUUGCAUAGCCUGCAGCAUUUCUAGCAGUGCAGUUGGGUGAGGGAGCCAACAGACUGGCUAAGACCCUGGAAUAUAAUCCUUACAGCAGAACUUUGUGGUCCCUGCACUGCUCCAGCACUGCAUCCUCCCACUCCUCCUAUUUAUAUAUUACACCUCCACCCCAUGAGUUGCUAUUCGGCUGCCAUUGGUUACUCUCUCAGGGACUCUGGGUGUGUCCUGCCAGGCUGCUUAACCACAAUGGAAAUCACCUAAAUAGCUUCAGAUAGCUAAUAAGCAAGCCUAGUGCCCACCACCCAAUUUUUGGAUGACGCUGGCCCAUCCAGCAGAGUCACUGCCCAGCUCCAGCAAGUCUUCACACUGAGGCCCCAAAACAAAACAAACAAAAAAACAAAAGAAGUAUCUUGCCCCAGUUUCUUCCUUUAUCUGCACUACUCCUCAUACACUGAAGAAUUGGAUCACAGGCUUUUCAGACCCACAUCCUCAAUGAUAUUUAGGCACCUAUUUGCCCCUUUAGGUUCCUAAGUCCACCAUUUAAGGUGGGAGUCACAAAGGAGCUUAGGUGCCUACCAGAGUUAGGAACCUACAUAGCCUUGUGAAUCCCAUCCUUAGGCUCCACCGCUAUUUUAUAAACCAGCACUCACAUUCCACCUAACCCCAUAGGCACCUAAGUUUCUACCAGUUGGUAUUUACAAACCUCCCAUAGUCCUGACUGCCCCACGGCUAACAAGCUGCUUAGAGACUUAGCUGAAGCUGAAAGCUUUGGAGGCCCCAAAGUGGGAUUCUGAAACCAGGCAGGGCAUGUCAAUAGGGUACAAUCCUUUAGGUGUGCUUUGAGCACGCCUAAGACCCAAUACCUGACAGACCCCACAGCAGAAGGGCCAGACACAGGCCCCCAACAGGCAGAUGGGCAGCUCAGCACCCACACAAGACAGCAGGGACACAGGGAAAUGUAGGGUGAGUAUGAGAGCAGUAUCGAGCAUUAGCAGGAGACAGUGAAAGACAGAGACUGUUUCAGCUGCUAGGGCAUGGGCUACCUAGGAACUAAGCUAGGUCAGCCGCUUAACUCCAGGAGAGGGUUCACGACUGAGGAUCCCAAAUGGAGGGAGGACCUAUCUCUGGCCCAUCAGCCAGGCGGCCCAUAUUAGGUGCCUAAGCCCUCCUCUUUCCACCCCUUACUUCAGCAUUUCAUUCCUCGCUAACUUAGGUGGCUUCCAGUCAGUUUGCUGGUUUUUGAGAAUGCCUUUCUGGGGCCCCUGCCGCUCCCUGUGUGCCUAGCUGGAGGCUGAGGAGUCGAUUAGGCAGCAGUCUACCUAGGGGUUAGGCAUUGCAGUACUGACUGAAGCCACUCCUACACACCUUUGAGUUUCUGGGCCUUCGUCUCUUCCACUUAGAAGACACAUUUAUGACCUUUGGAAUCUUCUGAAUCAAACGUAUUUCAAAAUAUAUUGAUGAUGGCAAAUACUUGAGAUAGUGAGCAGUCCCUCUCCAAUCCCUCUCCCCUACUUUUAUAAUUAACUUCCUUUUUUCCCCUAUAUGUCUCUUCAUAUUUGCAAAUAUGUACAACUCACCCUUUAUUAUGGCCAUAACAUGAAAUAAUAUUAUGCAAUAUUCUUCCCUUACCCAGUGAGGAACUAACUUUACAAUUGUAGCUCCUAUUGCUUUGAUGUUUUCUUUGUCCUCUGGGCCUCAACAAUUUUCUGUGGUAAUGAGUUCCUCUGUCUACUUAUGUGUUGUGUGCAGAAGUACAACAGUAUAGGCAGUUCAUUCUAAGACACGGCCUGCAGAUAGUGAAAAAAUAGGCUUGAUGAAGAAUUCUUUUACUUAACUGCCAUGGAAGUCCAUAGGUGUUUUGCAUGCAGCUUAUCAACUGAGAUUCACCCACAAUUAGGGUGACCACAGAUAGCAAGUGUGAAAAAUCAGAACAGGGGUUGGAGGAUAACAGGUAUCUAUAUAAGAAAAAGCCCCAGAUAUCAGGACUGUCCCUAUAAAAUUGGGACAUCUGGUCACCCUACCCACAAUCAGUCCUUGAGGAGAGCUUCUAAAUGUUAAUCUCCAGGCUAAAUCUUACCAAAGCACUCUAAGAAUUGCUUCAGCUUCUUCCCUUCUCUCUCAGUGUUUGUGUAGAGUUAACACCACUGAAAUUAUUAAACAGCAGUUUCUCUCCUCAACAUCAGCACAUGAGCUAGUAAAUGACAAAAGAGCCCCAACUGCAAAACUAUUAGAUGAUCCUCUUAAAUGAUGCAUGAAAAAUAGAAUACACACACACUGAUGCUGAUAUAUUAGUCUGAUUCUACAGGGCUAGAAAUUGCAAUAAAAAUUGUUUUAUAUGGUACACUGAGGAAAGGUGAGAUAAAAGCUUCAUUGCAACCCAGCAGUCACUUGGUUUCAUUUUUUUCCCCAAGAGGUUCUGAUUUACCUCAAAAGACCUUUGAAGGUCACUUAUAUCUUGUUUUUCCAUUUUGUUAAGCAUCUCAGUAUGCUACUUGUGGGAUGUAAUACACUUUUACUGUAUUUUUACUAUUGGUCUCCUGAAGACAAGGUUGGAUGGAGGUAGCUAUAUAUGUUUAUAAAAUAUGCUUUAGCAGGAUAAAUACAUUUUGACAGCAAAAUAUCAGGAGAUGUAAAGAGGCUCUCCCGUACUCCCAUCCCAUCACCUGCUGUUGUCUUAUGAUGGAGAGACCUGGUGGCUUGCUAUAUGCCUCUGCUUUCUUGGCAGAGAGGCGGCUGGAUGGUAGUCUUGUUCACAUUGGACUUGGAUCAGUGGGUAAUAAAAACUCCUCCCCAAAUAGUUGUGUGCUCACAGAAAAGAAAAUAAUAAAGAA